GAGGGUAUAGCUCAGUGGCAGAGAGCAUGACCAGCAUGCAUGAGGUCAUGGGUUCAAUCCCUGGUACCUUCA
rnacentral:tRNA from 1 species